AGAGUUUGAUCAUGGCUCAGAGCGAACGCUGGCGGCAGGCCUAAAACAUGCAAGUCGAACGGGAUCCUUCGGGAUUAGUGGCGGACGGGUGAGUAACACGUGGGAACGUGCCUUUUGGUUCGGAACAACUCAGGGAAACUUGAGCUAAUACCGAAUGUGCCCUUCGGGGGAAAGAUUUAUCGCCAUUAGAGCGGCCCGCGUCUGAUUAGCUUGUUGGUGAGGUAAAGGCUCACCAAGGCGACGAUCAGUAGCUGGUCUGAGAGGAUGAUCAGCCACACUGGGACUGAGACACGGCCCAGACUCCUACGGGAGGCAGCAGUUAGGAAUCUUGCGCAAUGGGGGAAACCCUGACGCAGCCAUGCCGCGUGAAUGAUUAAGGUCUUAGGAUUGUAAAAUUCUUUCAGCGGGGACGAUAAUGACGGUACCCGCAGAAGAAGCCCCGGCUAACUUCGUG
rnacentral:rRNA from 1 species